UACUCGAGUGGCGAACGGGUGAGUAACACGUGGGUGAUCUGCCCUGCACUUCGGGAUAAGCUUGGGAGACUGGGUCUAAUACCGGAUAGGAGCCAUCUUUAGUGUGGUGGUUGGAAAGUUUUUUCGGUGUAGGAUGAGCUCGCGGCCUAUCAGCUUGUUGGUGGGGUAAUGGCCUACCAAGGCGGCGACGGGUAGCCGGCCUGAGGGGGUGGACGGCCACAUUGGGACUGAGAUACGGCCCAG
rnacentral:rRNA from 1 species